UACGUAGGCAGCGAGCGUUGUUCGGAAUUACUGGGCGUAAAGAGUGUGUAGGCGGUGCUCUAAGUUCGGUGUGAAAUCUCCUGGCUUAACUGGGAGGGUGCGCCGGAAACUGGAGUGCUCGAACGUGGGAGAGGAAAGCGGAAUUCCUGGCGUAGCGGUGAAAUGCGUAGAUAUCAGGAGGAACACCUGCGGUGUAGACGGCUUUCUGGACCAUUGUUGACGCUGAGACACGAAAGCGUGGGUAGCAAACAGG
rnacentral:rRNA from 1 species